rnacentral:tRNA from 1 species
GCGUGAGUAGUUCAGUGGCAGAAUGCGACCUUGCCAAGGUUGUGACCCGAGUCCGAAUCUCGGCUCGCGCA